UACGUAGGGGGCAAGCGUUGUCCGGAUUUAUUGGCGUAAAGAGCGUGUAGGCGGCUUUACAGGUCCGUUGUGAAAACUCGAGGCUCAACCUCGAGACGCCGGUGGAAACCGUAAAGCUAGAGUCCGGAAGAGGAGAGUGGAAUUCCUGGUGUAGCGGUGAAAUGCGCAGAUAUCAGGAGGAACACCGGUGGCGAAGGCGGGUCUCUGGGCCGAUACUGACGCUGAGGAGCGAAAGCGUGGGGAGCGAACAGG
rnacentral:rRNA from 1 species